UACGAACGCUGGCGGCGUGCCUAAUACAUGCAAGUCGACCUUAGAGGCGAACGGUUGAGUAACACGUGGUUAACCUGCCCAUCAAAAGGGGAUAACACUUGGAAACAGGUGCUAAUCCCGUAUACUGAUGGAUGGACCCGCGGUGCAUUAGCUAGGUGGUGAGGUAACGGCUAACCAAGGCCACGAUGCCUAGACGAGCUGAUAGGGUGAUCGGCCACAUUGUGACGGAGACACGGCCCAAACUCCUACGGGAGGCAGCAGUAGGGAAUCUUCGGCAAUGGAUGAAAGUCUGACCGAGCAACGCCGCGUGAGUGAAGAAGGUUUUCGGAUCGUAAAACUCUGUUGUUAGAGAAGCGGUAUCUAACCAGAAAGCCACGGCUAACUACGUGCCAGCAGCCGCGGUAAUAC
rnacentral:rRNA from 1 species